GCAGUCGAACGGGGUCCAACCGGUGGCAACACCGGGGAAGAUCUAGUGGCGAACGGGUGCGGAACACGUGAGCAACCUGCCCCAAAGACCGGGAUAACAGCGGGAAACUGCUGCUAAUACCGGAUAUCCCCACCGGUCUCGCAUGGGACUGUGAGGAAAGGAUUCCGCUUUGGGAGGGGCUCGCGGCCUAUCAGCUUGUUGGUGAGGUAAUGGCUCACCAAGGCGACGACGGGUAGCUGGUCUGAGAGGACGAUCAGCCACACUGGGACUGAGGCACGGCCCAGACUCCUACGGGAGGCAGCAGUGGGGAAUCUUGCGCAAUGGGCGAAAGCCUGACGCAGCGACGCCGCGUGGGGGAUGAAGGCCUUCGGGUUGUAAACCCCUUUCAGUGGGAACGAAAUUGACGGUACCCACAGAAGAAGCCCCGGCCAACUACGUGCCAGCAGCCGCGGUGAUACGUAGGGGGCGAGCGUUGUCCGGAUUUAUUGGGCGUAAAGAGCUCGUAGGCGGCUCGGUAAGUCGGGUGUGAAACCUCUAGGCUCAACCUAGAGACGCCACUCGAUACUGCCAUGACUGGAGUCCGGUAGGGGACCACGGAAUUCCUGGUGUAGCGGUGAAAUGCGCAGAUAUCAGGAGGAACACCGGUGGCGAGGGCGGUGGUCUGGGCCGGCACUGACGCUGAGGAGCGAAAGCGUGGGGAGCGAACAGGAUUAGAUACCCUGGUAGUCCACGCCGUANACGUUGGGCACUAGGUGUGGGGCCU
rnacentral:rRNA from 1 species